UGAGAAUGCCCUCAAUCCCCCGCCCGGGGACGAGGAGCUGGUAUCAGGCACAAUGUUUAGCCCAAGACACCUUGCUUCGCCACACCCCCAAGGGAACUCAGCAGUAAUAAAUAUUAAGCCAUAAGUGUAAACUUGACUUAGUUAGGGUUAAAAGGGUCGGUAAAAUUCGUGCCAGCCACCGCGGUUAUACGAAAGACCCUAGUUGAUAACUAUCGGCGUAAAGGGUGGUUAAAGAGUAUGUAAAAAUAAAGCCAAAAACCUCCUAAGCCGUCAUACGCUCCCCGGAAAUACGAAGCCCAAAUACGAAAGUAGCUUUACCUAACUACUCCUGACCCCACGAAAGCUAAGAAACAAACUGGGAUUAGAUACCCCACUAUGCUUAGCCUUAAACCUAGAUGUAAUUUUACAAAACCAUCCGCCAGGGUACUACGAGCAUAGCUUAAAACCCAAAGGACUUGGCGGUGCCUCAGAUCCACCUAGAGGAGCCUGUUCUAGAACCGAUAAUCCCCGUUAAACCUCACCACCUCUUGUUUACCCCGCCUAUAUACCGCCGUCGUCAGCUUACCCUGUGAAGGCUUAACAGUAAGCAAAAUGAGUUAACCCCAAAACGUCAGGUCGAGGUGUAGCGUACGAGGUGGGAAGAAAUGGGCUACAUUUUCUACCACAGAACAUUACGAAUAGCGCACUGAAAUAUACGCCUGAAGGCGGAUUUAGUAGUAAAAAGCAAAUAGAAUAUCCUUUUGAACUAGGCUCUGAGGCGCGCACACACCGCCCGUCACUCUCCCC
rnacentral:rRNA from 1 species